rnacentral:rRNA from 1 species
CGAACCGGGGGAACUGAAACAUCUAAGUACCCCGAGGAAAAGAAAUCAACCGAGAUUCCCCCAGUAGCGGCGAGCGAACGGGGAGCAGCCCAGAGCCUGAAUCAGUAUGUGUGUUAGUGGAAGCGUCUGGAAAGGCGCGCGAUACAGGGUGACAGCCCCGUACACAAAAAUGCACAUGCUGUGAGCUCGAUGAGUAGGGCGGGACACGUGGUAUCCUGUCUGAAUAUGGGGGGACCAUCCUCCAAGGCUAAAUACUCCUGACUGACCGAUAGUGAACCAGUACCGUGAGGGAAAGGCGAAAAGAACCCCGGCGAGGGGAGUGAAAAAGAACCUGAAACCGUGUACGUACAAGCAGUGGGAGCACGCUUAGGCGUGUGACUGCGUACCUUUUGUAUAAUGGGUCAGCGACUUAUAUUCUGUAGCAAGGUUAACCGAAUAGGGGAGCCGAAGGGAAACCGAGUCUUAACUGGGCGUUAAGUUGCAGGGUAUAGACCCGAAACCCGGUGAUCUAGCCAUGGGCAGGUUGAAGGUUGGGUAACACUAACUGGAGGACCGAACCGACUAAUGUUGAAAAAUUAGCGGAUGACUUGUGGCUGGGGGUGAAAGGCCAAUCAAACCGGGAGAUAGCUGGUUCUCCCCGAAAGCUAUUUAGGUAGCGCCUCGUGAAUUCAUCUCCGGGGGUAGAGCACUGUUUCGGCAAGGGGGUCAUCCCGACUUACCAACCCGAUGCAAACUGCGAAUACCGGAGAAUGUUAUCACGGGAGACACACGGCGGGUGCUAACGUCCGUCGUGAAGAGGGAAACAACCCAGACCGCCAGCUAAGGUCCCAAAGUCAUGGUUAAGUGGGAAACGAUGUGGGAAGGCCCAGACAGCCAGGAUGUUGGCUUAGAAGCAGCCAUCAUUUAAAGAAAGCGUAAUAGCUCACUGGUCGAGUCGGCCUGCGCGGAAGAUGUAACGGGGCUAAACCAUGCACCGAAGCUGCGGCAGCGACGCUUAUGCGUUGUUGGGUAGGGGAGCGUUCUGUAAGCCUGUGAAGGUGUGCUGUGAGGCAUGCUGGAGGUAUCAGAAGUGCGAAUGCUGACAUAAGUAACGAUAAAGCGGGUGAAAAGCCCGCUCGCCGGAAGACCAAGGGUUCCUGUCCAACGUUAAUCGGGGCAGGGUGAGUCGACCCCUA